rnacentral:lncRNA from 1 species
CCGGAUGUUGAUGGAUACCGCGAGAGUUCAGUCGGACUAAUAAAGUCUGGUUGAUCAGACGUGGAUGGAUGCUGGAACUUUGAAUCCCAGAAGCGAAGAAGGAACCUUCUUUCAGCCCGUGGUGUGGUGUGGCCUCCGAUCCGGUGGUGUCCCUCUCUUGGAAAAAGAAAAAGGCGUAGAAGAAUUCGUUAAGAACUCUGAGAAGACUGCAUUCUUGUUGCUCCCUCCGGCCAGGAACAGCUACAGAACAACUUACAGAGGAGAAGAAGAAAGAAAACAAAGAUGAAGGAAGCAACAGCUACAGGAAGAGGAAGCUAAUUACAACUUACUAAACCAGAGCUGGAUCAAGGUCUUAAAAACUUCCUUUAAUCUAAGGGACUGAGAACCUACAGGUACCCUUAUUUGUAGAUUUCAUGAACACUCUUUUGUAAGUUUAAGAUCAUAGCUUUAAGAGUGACAAUGUUUUAAAAAAAAAGCUUUAAGAGUGACUGAUGCCUGCUUGACUGCAGGAUGCCUAGCACAAUGAAAAUCGUGAUAGAAUAGGGUGUUGCUGUGACUCGUGAUUUUCUCAGCUUUAAGUGUAAAAUUUAGUUUGCUUUGUCUUCGUAUCCUUAAUUAUGGGUUUUCUAUGUGUGAGUUGCAUCGCUUGUAGUUUUAGUAUGUCUUUUUUCGAAUUAACAAUGAUCUGCAUGAAUAAGAACCUAUACACUGUCCCUCCAUUUGUUUUUAGUUUUCUCUAAGAAAUAACCUAAUAGUUGUUUGUUGCCUUACAGUUUAUAUUUUUCAAGGUAAUGAUGCCUAAAUGACUUAUAAGGGGAUAUCUUUUGUCAUAUUCUGUUACUCUGGACUGCUUGUUUAUUGUGAUAGAUUUCAUUUAUUUUCAUUCCUACAUAUAAUUUCGUCAAGGUGUUUACUGAUGUCCUAUCUCAACAACUGAUUGUACAUGAGGUAAUUGCUGCAGGUCAAUGUUAUAAAGGACCAGUGACAAGAAGUUGGAGAUCCAAGCAAUUUGUUUUAUCAUUACAUAAGAGAGGGCACAAAUUGAUGAGAUGCUGUGGAUAUUAUUUGCCUUUAUUUGCUGUAAAAGUAUCAGGAUCCCUUAUUUAGUACAAUUCUAUUUGACCAAAGUAUUAUUUUAUUUUGUAAUUCUUUUUUUCCCCAAACACAUGGGCAAAAACAAA